UACAAUAUGACAGGAGGGCGCAUUGGCAGUGGGUGGUGCGGCGCGGUGUGAUUGGCUAAUUUAAAACUAAGCCACCCUAAGAAGUAGUGGGAAUGUCAGGUACCUUUCUGGCAUCUUAUAUUGGCGGGGGCUAGGGUUGUUGCUUGCUCAGGCAAUAGGUGGGUGGGUGUCGUUUUUUCUUUCCGCAACUGCUGAGUCACUCCUAGGAAAACAGUAGUCAGGCCUUCUAGUUUCUGAGGCUUAUUUGAAGCCUGUCAUGGUGUUAGUUUGGCCCUUCACAUUCAACGUGUAUACAUUCAUGGCCUCCCAUCUACCCUAAUACGCGUUAUGCCCUGGGAUAGGAAUGAACAACAUAGUAACGUUUGCAAGCACUAAGCUCUGAGGGAGGAGCCAACCUAUGAUAAGUAAAUAACCAAGACUCUUUACAAAUCUAAGGAGUAAUAUGAGGGAAUUAGCCUCUGAGCCGAGGCCAGAAGGAUGAGAAGGAGUCAAGCAAUUAGAUCAGGGUGUGAAGAACGUUCCAGAUAGUUAAUAGCAAAUGGAAAGGACCUGAGGGGCAGGGCCUGUAUUCAGUUGUUUGGAAAGUGAGUUGUGACUGAGGAGGGGAGAGCGUCGGGGGCUUGGAGGCUUGCCCGGUGAGGAGGCUGGAGAUUAUUCUGAAUGAGCUGAGACCACUGGAUGGCUGAACGCUGUGCGGGGACAAGGACUGACGUAUAAUUUAACAGGACGCCUGGAGCUGCUGCGUGGGAACAGGGUGAGAGUUGGGGGGGGGGGCGGACGCGGGCAGAACGGUGAGGAGGCUCCUGCAGUGUCCAGAUGUGCACUGCUGUGGCUCCGGGCUGGGUAGAGGCCGUGGGAGUGGAGAGAAGCGGUCCGUUUCUGGAUCUCUUCAGGAAACAGAGCAGGUUGGACUCACACAAGACUUGAACGACGCAGCCAGGAGGUCAGAGAAACAGAGGACUACCGACUUGAAGGUUGUCCCUUGAGCACUUGUAAGGACAGUGGGACCGUUUUGUGGGGGAGGCUGUGAGGAGGAGGGAAGAAUAGGGAAAUAUUGUUAGAGGCGUAGGUUUACACCAGAGAAUCUCUAAUUUUGUUUGGGCACCAUAAUUUCGAGAUCCUUUGUUUAUUCUGCAAGUGUUUCCUGGAACCUGAGAUGGGUUGGCGCUUCCUCUGGGGUUCCAGGGCCGCCGGACGCCCCCCAGGCCAGCAGUGAUCACUCUAGAGUGUAAUCAGGGCAGAGGAGGCUGCGUUCGAACCACCCUCAGGUGAAGGGGAGGAAAGCAAGGAGUCAGAACCUAGACAGGAUCCAAAGCGGGUCAGCAGGGACACCGGCUGCUUAGGGCACUCUGGUCCAGAGGGUAGCAGGACGCAGUCGAUGGAGGAUCAAGGAGAGCAGUGCCAUCCCUCCAGGGAUCCCUAACGGAAUGCGUGCGAGAGUAAGAUGGAGACCCUCAACUCCUACGUGGCCGCACGACAAAGGGCCGGGAUCCGCCUGCAGAGAAUGGGACCUCAAGUGAGUUGAACCCAUGCUGGAGAGUCUAGGCUCCCAAGAAAACGCAGAAGUGGGUGAAGGGACUACGAUUCCCAGAGGGCUUUGGGUUUACCCAUCUUUGAGUCCCAGGUGCAGGCGGGGCGAUUUGGCCCGAAGCGCAUUCAGCUGCAGGACCAGCUGGGCCACCGCGCUGCGACCCUCGUAGUGACGUCACGGGCUCCGCCCAAGGCUCCCAGAGUGCUCCAGGCCUGGCCUGCGCGUCUCCCUUCUGUUCCUGCGCGGAAACAGGAGGAGCUAUUUGGCCGAACUGAAAUAACAGUGCAGUAAAGCUCUGAAAUUCCCUACCCGACUGUUGCCUGAGUGAGUUCGAGCUCGUUGGGUUACAACAGGCUGAUAAGAGAACCUGCCCCGCCGACUGCUUGUGAAGAUAAAUGAGUUAAAACGGAACGCUCCUGCUUUGCAGGUUUCUUUAAUUCAGUGCUUGAGUGGAUCUCAGCACCACCCGCAUCCUUCUGAGUGAGACGUUAAUGAAAAGGUUUCCUUCGAGACUGGACAUCAUUGGCAAAAAGAGGACGUGAAAGCCAGCCUGCGGCGCUUGCGCCCUCUUGGGGAUACUUCAAGGAACAAACCAGUGCACUCAUGGUGGAGAAUCCAAACCAUCACUACGAGUAGGAAAUUAAAGUAACCAAAGGCACAACAGGAGAGACCAAGGAGCACGCUUCAAAGAACGCCUCCUGAACGGCCAGGCCCUGGUCAGUGUCUGAGCUCCUUUACUUCAGCGGUCUCAAAGGUGCCAAGCACAUAACAAGCUUUUAAACCUGACAAGAGACAGAAAGCUAGCCAAAAUGACAAAACAGAAGAACGCUCCUCUACAGAAAUUCAAGGAAGGAGUCACAGCCACAGAACUGCUCAAAACAGAUCUAAGCAACUUAACUAAACAAGAAUUUAAAAUACUUUUCAUAAAACUAAUCGCUGGGCUUGAAAAAAGCAUCAAAGAAUCUUUUGAUACAAUAAAUAAGGAGGUUCAAAACUUACAAAAAGCUGUAAAUGGGAUGAAUAAUAAAAUGGAAGCGGCCACCCAAAAGGCUACAAAUGAGGUGAAUAAUAAAACGGCAGCCACUGCAUGGACCCAAGGGGCCAAGAAGACAAUAGUUGAAUUAGAAGACACAAUAAUAAAAAAGGAGGAAGCUGAGGAAGAGAGAGAUACAUCGAUCCAUGAGCACAAAAGGGGAAUUCCUGAACUGAGGGGUGGUCUCAAAUGGAACAAUAUCCGGAUCAUAGGAAUUCCAGAAGAAGAAGAGAGAGAGGAAGGGGCUAAAGAGAUCCUUGAACAAAUCAUAACUGAGAACUUCCCCAACCUGAGGAAGGAAACAGCCAUUGAAAUUCAAGAGGCACACAGAACUCCCCUCAGA